rnacentral:rRNA from 1 species
UACGUAGGGUGCGAGCGUUAAUCGGAAUUACUGGGCGUAAAGCGUGCGCAGGCGGUGAUGCAAGACAGAUGUGAAAUCCCCGGGCUCAACCUGGGAACUGCAUUUGUGACUGCAUCGCUGGAGUGCGGCAGAGGGGGAUGGAAUUCCGCGUGUAGCAGUGAAAUGCGUAGAUAUGCGGAGGAACACCGAUGGCGAAGGCAAUCCCCUGGGCCUGCACUGACGCUCAUGCACGAAAGCGUGGGGAGCAAACAGG